GACCCUCCUCAGAAUACUGCACAUUACCCUACAGUCACUGAGAGUGAGCUACUGGCAGGACCGUCCCUCCUCAGGAAAGGAGUCCUCCAAAAAGGAUAAACAUGCAUCUUCUGGGCAGAAUCAUUCUUUCUGUCUCUCUACUGCCUGUCCUCCAUACCAUUUUCUUUUCCCGGUUGGCUUCUGCCUUUUUGUCUUCCUCCAGCAUGACCCCUUUCUCCAGUGGUUUCUCAGCUCUCUGUUCUCCACCCUCUCCUUCCUUCAAAUGUGAUGGAGGUAGAAGCAGAUUGUCAAGUCUCCCAGCCAUCCUCAGGAACCAAAUCAAAGAUGUAAGCAAGAGGGUGAUAAUGAUGAUGGAUGAUGAUGAUGAUGAUGAUGAUGAUGAUGGCAAUGCAGAGGAGAUGGAAAAAGAUGAUCCUUUAACGCAAGUAUGGGGGUCAAAGAAGCUGCUUAUUUCUGAGACUUUGCCUUUGCAUUCCUGUAGGAGACAAAGGAAAAUGAAGUUUCUCUUCAGACUUUUGUUAGUCCCUUGGUCACCCAGAUUUUACAUUUUUGAAGUGGUAUAAUUUUAAGAGAACAAAACUCUUCCUCUUUAUAUACCACCAUCCUUAUUCUUUAAUAAAUGCAUAUUGGGUUUCUUUUGGUAAGAAAGG
rnacentral:lncRNA from 12 species